CAACACCCACACCCAUCCUAGAUCCCCACCACUCCUCCGCCAGAAGUUUUCGCCCACCCCAACGUAGACCUCCUCCCCCUUCAGCGAAUACAUCCUCCGGAGUAGAUUCAUAGCCCUGCGAUGAACCAUAUACCAGGCGCAGGAUCUCGACCUUCCAGCUCCUGUAGCGUGUAUCCUUCACGACGCCGUUGCGGUGGCCGUCGAGGCCGACCACUAGGUUAGGUUGUUGAUGAAAGCCGGUGGCCUGGAUGCCGACUCCGCCGGGUCGGCAAGCAAAGCGCCGUCUUUUUCCACCGCCUACGUGGCCUCCACCUCCACCAAGCCCCACACGCUGCCGCCUCUUCGGAUGGCGGACGGUGCAACAUUAAUAGGAAUGGAAGGGUGCUCAAUGGCCUCCUCCCUCUCUUAUAUUCUAAGCUGACAUGGGUGUGUUGUCAUGUCGUGCGGGAGCUCUACCCCAAGUCCCACAAUGGACGUUGUUGACAUCAGCACCCAAUGGUCAAGUUUUUUCUUUGGCCGCACUCAAAUCGAUUGGUGCCAUUCUUUUAUCCAAUUCUUUAUGGUUGUUGUGCUUACUAAAAUUAUGCCUCUAUUCUGUGUCCCAUCAUUUCUGGCAAGACCCGAAUUGACUAUUGCAUGCUAAUUUCUUUUACUGAAAUGUGCAUUGGUAUUACUCUGUUCAUUUCAAAGUGUAUCAGUAUUGAUAGGUUACUGUGAAUUCAAAAAAUGUUGCUGCAAAUUCGAUCAAUGUGAAUUCUAGAUGCUCUUUAGUUUAUAAAUGUUCAAUCGCAUGAGUAUGUCAUUAUUUCACCAACUCAUGCCAAAAAAAUCACUAAUUUUCUAGUUGUCAGAAAGAGUUGGCGGAAUAUGGAAACAAACUUGAGAAGUGUAUGUUCGUUACCAUAAAAAGCGUGCUAUUGUAAUAUGAUAUAUUAUUAUGCUAUCUGAUUUUUGCACCUAGCCUCAACUAAAAUGUGUAUGCUUUAGAACUCGUAUGUCGUGUCAUUGAUUAUAAUUUACCGUUUGCAGCCACAACUUUAAUUUGUGACUACCACCUUGAUGACUAUUGUAUUCUUGUGAUUAGGCCCGAGCCAACCCUCUCACUUACCACUUUUUUGUGAUAUUUUAAAACUUGCUAAUUGUUGGCAUGAACAUGUGAGCUUUAUAUAGAAUCUACGAAGAUGUUAAUUCAGAAGUAUGGAUUUUAGUGAAUUAAUCUGUUUGAAUCAGUUUCUAAUAAUGAUUAUGUAAUUGUCAUUUUUGUGACUGGGUCUGGAGUAUCAUUUUGUUAGUAUCCCACCAAUACUUCUAUAUUGUUUGCUUCCACAGAGCUAUCAAUAUUUAUCUCAAGCAUUAUGUGGCGUAUUGCUGUUGUGGUAUGUCCCUCCUGUAUUAUUAUGACAUAUGAAGGCAGCAACGUGUCAUUGUGUGAUUUGCUACUUUUAUCAUGUUAAUUCUUAAUCCUUUCGUUCUAAUUUUUCAAUUCUGUUACUAGUUACUCCUUCUGAUGCUUUUUUCGAUUUGUUCCUAUUGACUUAGGCUUGGCAGCAAAGCUAAGAACGAGCAGACUAAUGAUCUCAUUGUUAUGCUACGUCCCUGUUCAAAGUUCAAUUACAUCCAUGGCAAUGUUCCUGCUGACCACCUUGCAUUGUAGUUUAGUCCUCUAUAAUCCAAAAUUCUUGUAAGCACUUACCAGCACAAUAUGAAGUUGAAACAUGUUGAGAAGAAUCAUGCUCUACAUGUAUGAGAUUAAAAUGUGAAGUGUCAGUAUAUCAAUUGAGAAGCUUGUAUGGAUGAAUGGAGCUUUGCAUUCUCAUGUGGUUUCAGAGCAAGGAGGGGAAAGAAUACAAAUAGUACUCGACCAGCUACUGGAGCAGGGGAGGAGGAGCAGGACUGGGCAUAGUACUUGACCAACGGCUAGAGAAGAACUAGGAAAAAGAGAAGGUGAAGGCCAACCACCGUUCUUAAACCAGAUUUAGACCUACCCCGGCAAAAAAGAACACUAUGUGUUUGCGCUGGCGACAUGCAUUUGCAGCGCAACAAGUCGAAGAAGGACUACCCCACCCAGUGGUCAUAGCUAGCCUCCGUGAGCUGCUACUGGUGGUUGCCCGUGAGAGAUGCUUCUGGUGGUCGCGAGCACCACUGGGUACGUCCAUGAAAGUCAGUGUCGUCACUAGGGAUAGCUCUUAUUGGGCCAAGGUGUGAGAUGUGGCCACCUCAUGCAUGAUGUAGGAGGACUAGUGGGUGUCGCUUGCCUAGGUGGUCUUGACUGCACCGGGUAGUGGGUGUUCCAUGAUGAGCUCGAGGAGGCACGGACUAGCGACACCUCUAUGUAGGUGGUCGUCCAGCCAGAUGUGCCACAGCGGAAACAAAGUUUACAAAUGCGAGCACAAGAAAUGAAGAAUAUCUUGUAUUUGAGGUUGUUCUUGUAGCGGAAAAAGAAGUAGAUUGAGGUCACCAUCUUGUGUAUUUGAGGCCUAAAUGCUUGUCCCAGUUCGUGUGCAGCGACCAACCCUUCCAACCAGAGAGAAGUUUGUAGAAGAGAAAUGGUUUUGGACAUUGGCCAUGCAGCUCAAUGAUGCCCUGAUUCCAAGCCAUUUGCUAGUGAUGUACGUCUUGCAAUGGCACUAGUUGAACUGCACAAUAAGGUCAUCUUCCUAGCUGUUCGAAACAAGAUGGUAGACGGCCGAAGAAAAUCCUGAAGGCCUUGCGGGGCAAUGGAGAAACCAGACAAAUGGUGGCAUGCUUGCAGAUGGAUGCACGACCGAAUAGCGAGCUUUGGUGAAGUUGCAUAGAAAGAAAGUUCAGUGUAGGGAGUAGGCGGAAGGAUCCAUUAUCUUUGUUUUCUGGGUGCAGUGAAGAAGACAUGUGAGGGUGAUGCCCUAAUUGCUGGCUGGCGACCAUGUUGUUGUUUGUGAUACCUAAAAUCAGCUUUGCUUAAUUACUACCUACUCAGGCUAGCUGAUGAUUCAUCGGCUUGAUAACCAGUUGAUUGUCACAUCUCUAAAUGUGAAUAAACUUGCGUCUAUGAGUGAACUGAAGCAUGUGCCGUGAAAUACAGUGAGUAAAGUAGACGUAAUAGUACUAAUUCAGUUCCCUUCAUUUCACUUGCUCAAGUAUAAGAUACUGUAAUUGGUAAAAAAAAUGGAUAU